AAUGUGAUUGGAGGGUUGGAACUUUCAGCCUCACUCCGUGACUUCCUGGAAGGGGAGAGGUGCUGAGGUUGAGUCUAUCCCCAAUGGCCAAUGAUGUCAUCAAUCAUGCCUAAAUAAUGAAGCCUCCAUAAAAACUCAAAAGGAUGGGAUUUGGAGAACUUCUGGAAUGCUGAGCAUGUAGAGGUGCCUGGAGAGGGCAUGGAAGCUCCACAUGCCUGCCCACAUACCUUGCACUAUGCAUCCCUUCCAUCUGGCUGCUCAUCUGUAUCCUUUGUAAUAUCCUUUAUAAUAAGUAGGUAUUAUGGUUUGGAUGUAUGUGUCCCUCCAAAAUUCAUAUGCUGGAACUUAAACUCAAAGGUAAUCGUGUUAAGAGGUGGGAUCUUUGGUGAAGUGAUUAAGUCAAGAGGGUUGUACACUCAUGAAUGGGAUUAAUGCCCUUAUAAAAGAAAAUGAAGGGAGUGCCCAGCCCCUUCAGCCCAUUCUACCGUGUGAGGAUGCAGCAAGAAAAUGCCAUGUUGGAAGCAGAGAGUAGCCCUCACCAGACACUGAAUCUGCUGGUGCCUUGAUCUUGAACUUCCCAGUCUCUAGAACUGUAAAAAAAAAAGUGUUUAUUAUUUAUAAAUUACCCAAUCUAAGGUAUCUUUUAUAGCAGCCCUAACAGACUGAGACAAUAAGUAAAUCUAAGUGUUUUUCCCCGAGUUCUGUGAGUCACUCUAGUUAACUAAUCGAAUCCAGGGAAAGGGCAGUGAGAACCCCCAAUUUAUAUAAAGCCAGUUGGUCAGAAAUACAGGUCACAACCUGGGACUUGUGCUUGGCAUCUGAAGUGUGGGGCAGUCUUGUGGGGCUAAGCUGUUGGAUCUGAUGCUAACUGUGGAUAGACAGUGUCAGAGUUGAAUUAUAGAACAUCCAGCUGGUGUCCACUGGAAAACUGAUUCUGGCUGGUGGGGAGAAAUCCCUACAUAUUUUGGUGACCAGAGGGGAAGUAUUCUGCAAUGAGGAUGACAGAAGGAAAAGCAGUUUGUUUUUUUUCCUCAGGACAUAUCACAUAAUGCCUCACAGAAACACCCAGAAUAAUGUUUGACCACGUAUCUGGGCACUGUGGCCCAGCGAAGUUGGCACAUAAAAUUAACUAUCACAGCAUCCAUCCAUCAAAACAGCCAUGAGCUGAAGGCCCAUUUGGUCAGGCACUUUUCAGUUUGGGAUGUGACAUUCUUGGAUCAGGGGGAUCUGAAGAUCUUCUGUAAAGCACUACUUGGUUUCCAUCAAGCUGUGGAAGGAGUGCUCUUGGACACUAAAAAAAAACACCUUCUCACUUCCACAUUUGGGACUGUCAACUCAAGAAUGCAAGGAGAGUUAUACAGAAAACACCUCAUUUGGAGUUAUUUACUCUAACUGCUCAGCAUUGUGAGAACAAGUUCAUUCUUGUACCUUUCCUCCAUGGAUUUGGGGAUCACAAGGGACUUACCCAUCAUUGGAGUGGCCACAGUCUGAACAAGUUCCACCCACUGCCUGAGAGUCCUGCCCUGAAUUUUAGACUUUGAUCAUAAAAAAAAAAUGGAUAAUAUAAUUUAACAGUGAAUAAAUUAGGUAUCAAUGAAGCUGGCUUCAAAGC